rnacentral:piRNA from 2 species
UAAGAGGACACCAAGGAUCACGCUUUGCCUGC